AUGUCGGACAAGAUGGCGGCGGCCUCCCCGCAGCCGCAGCCGGGGCCCGGGCCGCCGCCGGGGGAGGCGGAGAGCGGCGGCCCGCGCGGCGGCGGCGGCGGCGGGGCGGACGGAGAGGCGGAGGCGGAGGAGUUUGGGUGUCCGGCGCACUGCGCGGACCUGGCGUGGCGGCAGAACGAGCAGCGCCGCCACGGCCUCUACUGCGACAUCACUUUAGCCUUCGGCGGCGGGCGGCCCGGGGCGGCCCGCGAGUACCGGGCGCACCGCUCCGUCCUGGCCGCCGCUACCGAGUACUUCACGCCGCUGCUGUCCGGGGGCUUCGCCGAGUCGCGCUCGGGCCGCGUGGAGCUGCAGAAGUGGAGCUCGGAGGGCGGCCCCGACCCCGACACGGUGGAGGCCGUCGUGGGCUUCAUGUACACCGGCACCAUCCGCGUCAGCCCCGGCAACGUCCACGAGGUGCUGGAGAUGGCCGACAGGUUCCUGCUGACCCGGUUAAAAGAGUUCUGUGGAGAGUUUCUGAAGAAGAAGCUCAAUCUCUCCAACUGCGUGGCAGUUCAUAGCUUAGCCCAUAUGUAUUCCUUGAACCAGCUGGCCCUCAAAGCUCAGGACAUGAUCCGGAGAAACUUCCACAGAGUGAUCCAAGAUGAGGAGUUCUACACUCUGCCAUUCCACCUCAUCAGGGACUGGCUCUCAGACUCGGAGAUCACAGUGGACUCUGAAGAAAUCCUCUUUGAGACAGUCUUGAAGUGGGUUCAGAAGAAUCCUGACGAAAGAGAGAGGUACUUCGAAGAUCUCUUUAAAUUGCUUAGGUUGUCGCAGAUGAAACCCACUUACCUUACUCGUCACGUCAAAUCCGAAAGGCUGGUCUCCAGUAACGAAGCCUGUGUCAAGCUAGUGUCUGAAGCAGUGGAAAGUCAUGCCUUGCGGUCUGAGAACAUGCAGCCUGGUAAUCUACAACAUUCCACUUAUCCUCUAACAUCGUUGCCACGCUUUGGGCAAAAUAUGGACGUCAUUAUGGUGAUUGGUGGUGUAUCAGAGGGAGGAGAUUACUUGAGCGAGUGUGUAGGAUAUUUCAUUGAUGAAGAUAGGUGGGUGAACUUGCCACACAUACACAAUCAUCUUGAUGGGCAUGCAGUUGCUGUGACAGAAUCUUACGUUUACGUGGCUGGCUCCAUGGAACCAGGAUUUGCCAAGACUGUUGAAAGGUACAAUCCAAACAGAAAUAUUUGGGAGCAAGUCUCAAAUUUAAUAACCAGAAAGCAUUCUUUCGGCCUUACUGAAGUUAAAGGGAACUUGUACAGUAUUGGUGGACAUGGUAAUUUCAGUCCUGGCUUUAAAGAUGUAGCCAUUUAUAAUCCUGAGCAAGACAAAUGGCUUAACCUGGAAUCAGCACCAAAGAUUCUUCGUGAUGUCAAAGCUGUUUCUGUAGAAGAUCGGUUUGUUUAUGUUGCUGCUCGUACCCCAGUUGACAGUGAUAGUGAAGAUGGAUUGAGGGCUGUUAUUAUCAGAUAUGAUGUUGAAACAAGGCAAUGGCAAGAUGUGGAGUCUCUGCCACUUAUUGAUAACUACUGCUCUUUCCAGAUGUCUGUUGCUAACACUAACUUUUACCAUACAGCAUCCUGCUGCCCCAAGAGUUACCCUAUUGAUAAUGAAGAAGCUAAGAUAAAGAUUUCUGGCAGGGCCUCAGAUGAAAUACUUGAAAGUUUACCUCCAGAAGUUCUUAGCAUUGAAGGGGCAGCUAUCUGUUACUAUAAAGAUGAUGUUUUCAUCAUUGGGGGGUGGAAGAACAGUGAUGAUAUUGACAAGCAAUACAGGAAAGAGGCAUAUCGUUACUGUGCUGAGAGAAAGCGCUGGAUGCUUUUGCCUCCUAUGCCUCAGCCUCGCUGUAGAGCAACAGCCUGCCAUGUGAGAAUUCCUUUCAGAUGCUUGCAGGGAACACAAAGAUAUCCUAUGCCACAAAAUCUGAUGUGGCAAAAAGAUAGAAUAAGACAAAUGCAGGAAAGACAGAUGCAGGAAAUACACAGACAUUCUCUAAGCUUACGAAGAAUGCCGCGCUCUCAGAUUGAGUGCUAGUUUCUGGAAUGUCACUCCUGAUUAGUCUGGUUUAUCAAAUACUGUACUAAGCCAUUUUUUAAGGCUUGAUAUGUUUCUAUAAGAUAUUAGAAUUUGGGUUUGAUGCAUAAAAAUAGCAUCUCUAUUAAAAGAAGCUCAGAAGUUGAGGAUGGAUAGGAGUUGGGAAACCCUGUGAAUCCAAAUAUAUUACCUAUCAUGUCCAGGGAAAGGCUUGUUUCCUGUUAAUGGGCUGUGAAAUAUCUCUAGGAACAUUAAAUCUGUUAGUUCUCUCUUCAGAUCUUUGUUUUCAAAGGUUUAUGUAGAGUUAGACUAACAGUUCUUUUUUGAAAAUCAAAAAUCUCUUAAUAAUUUAGUGGUUACAUUUGAGUGUGUGCUGAAAGCACCUGUUUUAUUUGCACUUACAUAUUGACAUUCCUUUGAUUCUCUCAGUGGCUAAACUUCACAUGUAAUUGGUGUUAGUGCACUUAGCUUUCCCACGUUGGAAGCAUGUGCAAUGGUUAAAUACCUGUUUGUGAAAACAAAAGCACAAUCUUUCUUUAAAAAACUACUUCAGAAUGUUUCUAUAUAUAUUAAAUAUUUUGUAUCAGUAUAGUGUAGAAAGGCUGCAGAGUUUGCUUAUAAACGGUUGGUAGAACAUCACUUGCUAAAAUCGAGAACUUGCAAUAGGUUUUUUCCAGGUGUAUCUGAAGAUGCUUUGAGUUUGUCUUUGACAGCUUCAUUAUAAACUUGGUCAACAAUCAGCCUGAUAAAAAGAGUGAAAACAGCAAAGUAGCCACCUGUCAAAGUAGACUGUUCACUUCUAAAGUCAAAGAGGAUUAAUAAGAAUGGGAUUAUUUCAUAGUAAUAUAUUAAAACCCAAGCAACUUGUAGAUCUUUUCUCAAAUGUUGCACUUCUUUAAUUCUAGUGAAAACAUGAUAAAAAGAACCCCCAUGAACCUGUUUCCCGCCUGUGUUCGACAAUCAAUACUUUUUGUCUUCAGUAUAUUUUCCCUCAAAACUUACAAUAGCUGUACCACAGCAUUUAUUGCUUCUCUUGAAGGGAGAUAGUUGGCUCUUGAUGUACUGAUGAUGAUAAGAUUUUUAAGAGGCAUCUAAAUUUUCACAGUCUCUAAAUGUUUGUGUUUCCCCACUUGGUGUAGUUGUAGGAUUUAAGCUGAUUGUGAUAAAAUGGAGCUAUUUAUACACCUUCAGGAGUUUUUAGGUGAUUUUAUAUAAAUUGGUGCCCUGAUUGGCUCUGGUUUGCUUACUGUAAUACUCCCAAGGAACAGCGUGGUGAGUCUUUCCUUUAGAGUAUCACUGCCUCUGUUAGCUGUCCCACUGAACACUCCUCCUCCCUGGUCUGAAAAGCACCAGGAGGCUUUGAUUACUUGUAGAUUCAGUGCUUCCUUCCUACCUCCUUUUCUUCCCCAUCCUUCCCUCUAUUUGAAUGUUCAGGUUUUCACUUGCAGCCUAACUCAGGAUCUUAGGGAAGGGAAAGGGAGGAAUAACCAGGGUGUUCCAAUAUCUGUGUAGAUAAACAUUGUUGAAAAAGCUGUUUACUGUCUUUGGUUCUUGUGGUAAUUUGCUGGGGUCUUUAAUGUGGGCAACUUCUUUGCAGCAGAACUUCUAAACAUUUUUUUUAAUGGUGUAGCUUUCUGAACUGAUACUUCUCAUUUUUCAAUUCAGCAGGCAACCUAGAUCAUAUCUGAAACAAUGGGUCCAUGUCACUGGAUCACGGCAGCUGUACUCUCCUGUCAAUAUUAAUGUAGACUUCAACAGAUU